UCCGAGUUGACCCCGGCAGUCUCCUAUGAGUCCCCACCAUCCCGAAGGACGUGCUGGCAACAUAGGACGAGGGUUGCGCUCGUUGCGGGACUUAACCCAACAUCUCACGACACGAGCUGACGACAACCAUGCACCACCUGUGAACCGGCCCCAAAGGGGAAGGACUGUUUCCAGCCCGGUCCGGCCCAUGUCAAGCCUUGGUAAGGUUCUUCGCGUUGCAUCGAAUUAAACCACAUACUCCACCGCUUGUGCGGGCCCCCGUCAAUUCCUUUGAGUUUUAGCCUUGCGGCCGUACUCCCCAGGCGGGGUGCUUAAUGCGUUAGCUUCGGCACGGACGGGGUUGAUAUCCGCCCACACCUAGCACCCAACGUUUACGGCUAGGACUAC
rnacentral:misc_RNA from 1 species